rnacentral:rRNA from 1 species
ACUCCUACGGGAGGCAGCAGUGGGGAAUUUUGCGCAAUGGGGGAAACCCUGACGCAGCAACGCCGCGUGGGGGAUGAAGUCCUUUGGGAUGUAAACUCCUUUCGACCGGGACGAUAAUGACGUAC